rnacentral:rRNA from 1 species
CCUGAUGCAGCAACGCCGCGUGAGUGAUGACGGCCUUCGGGUUGUAAAGCUCUGUCUUCAGGGACGCUAAUGACGGUACCUGAGGAGGAAGUCACGGCUAACUACGUGCCAGCAGCCGCGGUAAUACGUAGGUGGCAAGCGUUGUCCGGAUUUACUGGGCGUAAAGGGAGCGUAGGCGGACUUUUAAGUGAGAUGUGAAAUACCCGGGCUCAACCUGGGUGCUGCAUUUCAAACUGGAAGUCUAGAGUGCAGGAGAGGAGAGUGGAAUUCCUAGUGUAGCGGUGAAAUGCGUACAGAUUAGGAAGAACACCAGUGGCUAAGGCGACUCUCUGGACUGUCACUGACGCUG